GCUAGACUUGUUAGCCACAUCUUGAAUCACGAAUUGAACCCCAAAUUGCUACGAAUCGGAAUGGUGUUAUUUAUAAUCUCUAUGCUUAGAAAUUGAUGACAUCAUUUCCUACGUAAACAUAAGCUCUAUACGCAGGUUUUUUUUCAGGAUUUUCUCUUGGGUCCGUUUUUGCAGAGAAGAUUGAGUUUAGCUGAACAGCUGGGGUGGCU